rnacentral:misc_RNA from 1 species
UCGAGGGCUACAUCAGGCGACUGGUGAUCGAGCCAAAGGAUCCGGCUUUGCUCGCUCAGCUGGGCCUUGCCGAUACACUGCAGCUUCGGGAGGCCGUUUUCGAUUUUUUCAAGGCCGCCAGGCAGGCGCUCUAGAGAACUUCGUCGAACGCCUGGUGUUCGACCUGAAGGUACUGACGAUCGGCGAGGCGCAAAAGCUGUCGAUCGCUGACAUCGAUUAUUGGUUCGAGCGCAUCCGCCUGCGCGCGAACAGGAAGUCCGGCUCAUGAGCAAGGUCAUCGAAGCAAAAGCCGUAAUUUCGGCGGCCGACAAGACCGGAAAUGUCUUCGACAAACUGGCUCAGAAGAUCAAGG